UACGUAGGGGGCAAGCGUUGUCCGGAAUUAUUGGGCGUAAAGAGCGCGUAGGCGGUCCGAUAAGUCGGCUGUGAAAGUCAGGGGCUCAACCCUUGAAAGCCGGCCGAUACUGUCGGACUAGAGUCCGGAAGAGGCAAGUGGAAUUCCCGGUGUAGCGGUGAAAUGCGCAGAUAUCAGGAGGAACACCGGUGGCGAAGGCGGGUCUCUGGGCCGAUACUGACGCUGAGGAGCGAAAGCAUGGGUAGCGAACAGG
rnacentral:rRNA from 1 species